GACGAACGCUGGCGGCGUGCUUGACACAUGCAAGUCGAACGGAAAGGCCCUGCUUGCAGGGUACUCGAGUGGCGAACGGGUGAGUAACACGUGGGUGAUCUGCCCUGCACUUCGGGAUCAGCCUUGGAAACUGGGUCUAAUACCAGAUAGGAGCCAUUUGUAGUGUUAUGGUUGGAAAGUUUUUUCGGUGUAGGGUGAGCGCGCGGCCUAUCAGCUUGUUGGUGGGGUAAUGGCCUACCAAGGCGGCGACGGGUAGCCGGCCUGAGAGUGUGGACGGCCACACUGGGACCGAGCCACGGCCCAGACGCCUACGGGAGGCAGAAGCGGGGAAUAUUGGACAAUGGGCGCACGCCCGAUGCAGCGAAGCCGCGCGGGGGAUGACGGGCUUUGGGUUGUAAACUACUUUCGCUAGGGACGAAGCUUUUUGUGACGGUACCUAGAUAAGAAGCACCGGCUAACUACGUG
rnacentral:rRNA from 1 species